AUCAUGGCUCAGAUUGAACGCUGGCGGCAGGCCUAACACAUGCAAGUCGAGCGGUAGAGAGGAGCUUGCUUCUCUUGAGAGCGGCGGACGGGUGAGUAAUGCCUAGGAAUCUGCCUGGUAGUGGGGGAUAACGUUCGGAAACGGACGCUAAUACCGCAUACGUCCUACGGGAGAAAGCGGGGGAUCUUCGGACCUCGCGCCAUUAGAUGAGCCUAGGUCGGAUUAGCUAGUUGGUGAGGUAAUGGCUCACCAAGGCGACGAUCCGUAACUGGUCUGAGAGGAUGAUCAGUCACACUGGAACUGAGACACGGUCCAGACUCCUACGGGAGGCAGCAGUGGGGAAUAUUGGACAAUGGGCGAAAGCCUGAUCCAGCCAUGCCGCGUGUGUGAAGAAGGUCUUCGGAUUGUAAAGCACUUUAAGUUGGGAGGAAGGGCAGUAACCUAAUACGUUAUUGUUUUGACGUUACCGACAGAAUAAGCACCGGCUAACUUCGUG
rnacentral:rRNA from 1 species